AACGAACGCUGGCGGCAGGCCUAACACAUGCAAGUCGAGCGAGCAUUUCGGUGCUAGCGGCGGACGGGGGAGUAACGCGUGGGAACGUGCCCUUUUCUGCGGAAUAGUCCUGGGAAACUGGGGGUAAUACCGCAUACGCCCUUUUGGGGAAAGAUUUAUCGGAGAAGGAUCGGCCCGCGUUGGAUUAGGUAGUUGGUGGGGUAAUGGCCCACCAAGCCGACGAUCCAUAGCUGGUGUGAGAGGAUGAUCAGCCACACUUGGACUGAGACACGGCCCAGACUCCUACGGGAGGCAGCAGUGGGGUAUCUUAGACAAUGGGGGCAACCCUGAUCUAGCCAUGCCGCGUGAGUGAUGAAGGCCUUAGGGUUGUAAAGCUCUUUCAGCUGGGAAGAUAAUGACGGUACCAGCAGAAGAAGCCCCGGCUAACUCCGUG
rnacentral:rRNA from 1 species